rnacentral:rRNA from 1 species
GACGAACGCUGGCGGCGUGCCUAAUACAUGCAAGUCGAGCGCUCAAAGGUGGUACUUGUACCGCUUGGAUUAGCAGCGGACGGGUGAGUAACGCGUGGGUAACCUACCUUUAAGCGUGGGACAACUUCUGGAAACCAAUGCUAAUACCGCAUAAUAACUUUAACCACAAGUUUCAAGAUUGAAAGAUGCUCUUGCUUCACUCAAUAAUUAUCCCGCGUUGUAUUUACUAGUUUGUUAAGUUAAGGCUCACCAAGGCGAUGAUACCUAACCGACCUGGGAGGGGGGUACGCCAAAUUGGGAACGGGACACGGGCCCAACUCCUACGGGAGGCAGCAGUAGGGGAUCUUUGGCAAUGGACGAAAGUCUGACCGAGCAACGCCGCGUGAGUGAAGGAAGGUUUCGGGUCGUAAAACUCUGUUGGUAGAGAAGAACGAUGGUGGGAGUGGAAAGCUCAUCAAGUGACGGUAACUACCCAGAAAGGCACGGCUAACUACGUG